GACGAACGCUGGCGGCGUGCUUAACACAUGCAAGUCGAACGAAGAGCGAUGGACGCUUGCUUCUCUCAAUCUUAGUGGCGCACGGGUGAGUAACGCGUAAUCAACCUGCCCUUCAGAGGGGGACAACAGUUGGAAACGACUGCUAAUACCGCAUACGAUCUAAUCUCGGCAUCGAGGAUAGAUGAAAGGUGGCCUCUACAUGUAAGCUAUCACUGAAGGAGGGGAUUGCGUCUGAUUAGCUAGUUGGAGGGGUAACGGCCCACCAAGGCGAUGAUCAGUAGCCGGUCUGAGAGGAUGAACGGCCACAUUGGGACUGAGACACGGCCCAGACUCCUACGGGAGGCAGCAGUGGGGAAUCUUCCGCAAUAGACGAAAGUCUGACGGAGCAACGCCGCGUGAGUGAUGACGGCCUUCGGGUUGUAAAGCUCUGUUAAUCGGGACGAAAGGCCUUCUUGCGAAUAGUGAGAAGGAUUGACGGUACCGGAAUAGAAAGCCACGGCUAACUACGUG
rnacentral:rRNA from 1 species